AUUGAACGCUGGCGGCGUGCCUAACACAUGCAAGUCGAGCGGUAACAGGUGUAGCAAUACAUGCUGACGAGCGGCGGACGGGUGAGUAACGCUUGGGAAUCUGCCUAUUAGUGGGGGACAACCCGGGGAAACUCGGGCUAAUACCGCAUACGCUCUACGGAGGAAAGCCGGGGACCGCAAGGCCUGGCGCUAAUAGAUGAGCCCAAGUCGGAUUAGCUAGUUGGUAGGGUAANGGCCUACCAAGGCGACGAUCCGUAACUGGUCUGAGAGGACGACCAGUCACACCGGAACUGAGACACGGUCCGGACUCCUACGGGAGGCAGCAGUGGGGAAUAUUGGACAAUGGGCGAAAGCCUGAUCCAGCGACGCCGCGUGGGCGAAGAAGGCCUGCGGGUUGUAAAGCCCUUUC
rnacentral:rRNA from 1 species